CUAAUUGGAUCGCAGAGUGCGA
rnacentral:siRNA from 1 species